AGGUCGGACUCUACCUACGGGGGGUGUUGGCCGCCUGAGGGGAAGGUCCGCUUAGUACGAGAGGAACGGCGGGCCGCGGCCUCUAGUGUACCGGUUGUCCGGUAGGGCAAAGCCGGGCAGCCACGCCGUGGGGGGAUAAGGGCUGAAAGCAUCGAAGCCCGAAGCCCUCCCCGAAAAGAGGCGGCCACUCCCCC
rnacentral:rRNA from 1 species